UGUCUCAGAGGUGUUAAGGCUCAAGG
rnacentral:piRNA from 1 species